rnacentral:rRNA from 1 species
GACGAACGCUGGCGGCGUGCUUAACACAUGCAAGUCGAACGAAGUGGCGAACGGGUGAGUAACGCGUAAUCAACCUGCCCUUCAGAGGGGGACAACAGUUGGAAAAGACUGCUAAUACCGCAUACUGAAGGAGGGGAUUGCGUCUGAUUAGCUAGUUGGAGGGGUAACGGGCCACCAAGGCGAUGAUCAGUAGGCGGACUGGGAGUGAGAGCGAGCACCUUGAGACUGGAACACGGACCAGAUCCCUACGGGUGGCAGCAGUAGGGAUGCUUCCUAAAGGGAAGAAAGUCCGACGGAGAAACGCCGCGGGAGUGAUGAGGGCGUUCGGGUUGUAAAGCUCUGUUAAUCGGGACGCGGUACCGGAAGAGAAAGCCACGGCUAACUACGUGCCAGCAGCCGCGGUAAUAC